rnacentral:rRNA from 1 species
UACGUAGGGUGCAAGCGUUAAUCGGAAUUACUGGGCGUAAAGCGUGCGCAGGCGGUGAUGUAAGACAGGUGUGAAAUCCCCGGGCUUAACCUGGGAACUGCAUUUGUGACUGCAUCGCUGGAGUGCGGCAGAGGGGGAUGGAAUUCCGCGUGUAGCAGUGAAAUGCGUAGAGAUGUGGAGGAACACCGAUGGCGAAGGCAGCCCCUGGGCCAAUACUGACGCUCAUGCACGAAAGCGUGGGGAGCAAACAGG